CCAGGACUCCAGAGAACCAGGCAGGGACUUGAAGUGACAGACUCAAGGGAGAUUGAAGAGUUGCCAGUCCUCUCUCUACCCUGCUCAGCACCCAGGGCCAGCAGUCCUCAGCCUAGGAGGCCAGUGGCUGUACCCUUCCUGGUGGCCUGGGAUCUAGUAGCCUCCUCUCCCCGACAGCUAGAGCCUGGAGGCAUCAAUCUGCUGUGAGACCAGACCUGGCUGCUGCUGCAACCCCCUCCCUGCACUCCUCACAAGCCCUCCUGGGUGCCACCUCCCCGACCUGCCUGGUCCACCCUCCUUCUGAGCCUCCAGGACGUGUGCC
rnacentral:lncRNA from 1 species